rnacentral:rRNA from 1 species
AGAGUUUGAUCAUGGCUCAGAUUGAACGCUGGCGGCAUGCUUAAUACGUGCAAGUCGAACGGUAACAGAUUCUUCGGAAUGCUGACGAGUGGCGGACGGGUGAGUAAUACAUAGGAAUCUGCCCAUGUAGUGGGGGACAACUUGGGGAAACUCAAGCUAAUACCGCAUAAUUCCUACGGGAUAAAGAGGGCCACUGCUUGCAAGCUCUUGCUACUGGAUGAGCCUAUGUCGGAUUAGUUAGUUGGUAAGGUAAUGGCUUACCAAGACAGCGAUCCGUAGCUGGUUUGAGAGGAUGAUCAGCCACACUGGGACUGAGACACGGCCCAGACUCCUACGGGAGGCAGCAGUAGGGAGUAUUGGACAAUGGGCGCAAGCCUGAUCCAGCAAUGCCGCGUGUGUGAAGAAGGCCUGCGGGUUGUAAAGCACUUUCAAUUGGGAAGAAAGAUUAUGAGUUAAUACCUUAUAAUAUUGACG